GGCUGUAUGAUACAGUGGUUUCAGUACUGGACUAGGACGUGGGAGACCAGGGUUCAAAUCUCUGCUCAGCCA